UGUUAAGGGAAUAGAUAAACAGGCUGGCUCUUUUCUUAGCGAAGUUAAAGGCAGGGAUGAAGCCAACAGGGAUGAACUUGAGAACACACGGCCAUCAUAUAGCAUGAUUGCACACAGAAAUUGUGUGCAUAAUGUGUUAUUUGAUUAGGCAUGUGUUCUCAGGUCACCCCUGUUGGAGAUAUUUGCUAAUCAAACCACCAAGACACAAAACAGUUUUCAGUAAUCUGUCAAAUGGGUAUUUGCUAAUAAAGGCCGAGUUUAGGCAUGAAGCUUUCGAGCACUUCAGUCCAGUGAGGGUCUUAACAGAGUUUUUGCCAACCACUAUGGGGUACGAGUCUGUAGGCUGAAAUCUCUUCAGCUAAGAGUGAAGGAUUGAGGGACAUCCAUUCCGCCAAAUUUGCUCGGAGCAUGAUCCCAGCCUCAUUCCUUAUGAUGUUGGAGCAUUGUACUCGGCAAGACUGAUCCUCGUGGACAAAUUUGGAGCCAUUCAACUUCACCACCAGACCAAGGACCCAUUGACAUAAUGUGUAUUUUAUUUUUAAAUUGCUUCAGACAUUGUAUGGUUGUUUUUUUUUGGUAACCCAGAGGUAUCCCCGCGUCUCAUCCCAGCGACCAACCCCGCCUUACCUUGGACUUAUAGGUGCCAAGUUGGGGUCAAAGGAGGGGCGAGAUGAGGUGAAACCAGUCCUCUAGAAGUGGAUGAGUCUGCCCGCAGUCCCCAACCUCUGUGUUAACAUGACAUGGAAUCAAACCUGAGACCAAUGGGGGAGUAAACCCACGACCCAAGCCAAUUCACCUACCAUGCGAGACUGACAUUGUGUGGUUGUUUCUUUUAUAUAGGUUAGUGAGCAUCUAGAUUACAACGAAAAGAUGGUUUCUAAUUUGGAUGUGUAUUCUCUCAUAGUAUUGAACUUGCUAGUUUACGACAAAGAUGUUGAUAUCUAUAUAAUCCAUUUGUUUCUA